AAUUGGGAGCAAGCUGGCUGUGACAUCUGUCAACAGCUGAUUGCCAGAACUGAUUUGGUGGGUCUGUCCUACUAAGAAAGUGUCCCAUUUCUUCCUAGCUCUGCCAUGUGUGUUUUUCCCGAAGCCACUCGCUUCAUUGGAGAGGAUCAUUGUUCUAGGUAGAGAAGGACGAGGGUCGG
rnacentral:snRNA from 1 species